CCUACGGGAGGCAGCAGUGAGGAAUAUUGGUCCAUGGGCGCGAGCCUGAACCAGCCAAGUAGCGUGAAGGAUGACUGAACUACGGGUUGUAAACUUCUUUUAUCAAGGAAUAAAGUGAGGCACGUGUGCCUUUUUGUAUGUACUUUAUGAAUAAGGAUCGGCUAACUCCGUGCCAGCAGCCGCGGUAAUACGGAGGAGCCGAGCGUUAUCCGGAUUUAUUGGGUUUAAAGGGAGCGUAGAUGGGUGGUUAAGUCAGUUGUGAAAGUUUGCGGCGCAACCGUAAAAUUGCAAUUGAUACUGGCAGCCGUGAGUACAGUUGAGGUAGGCGGAAUGCGUGGUGUAGCGGUGAAAUGCUUAGAUAUCACGAAGAACUCCGAUUGCGAAGGCAGCUUACUAAACUGCCACUGACAUUGAUGCUCGAAAGUGUGGGUAUCAAACAGGAUUAGAUACCCGGGUAGUC
rnacentral:rRNA from 1 species